rnacentral:rRNA from 1 species
CGGUAAUUCCAGCUCCAAUAGCGUAUACUAAAGUUGUUGCAGUUAAAAAGCUCGUAGUUGGAUUUCUGCGGGGACGGAGCGGCCGGACGCAACUUGCGUCUCGAGCUAGCGCUUUCCCCGCAUCCUGCCGCGAACCGUGCUACCAUUAGCUUGGUGGCGCUGGGGAUCGGCUCGAUUACUUUGAGAAAAAUAGAGUGUUCAAAGCAGGCCACACGCCUUGAAUAAGUUAGCAUGGAAUAAUGACUAAGGACUUCGGUUCUAUUUUGUUGGUGUUCGGGACUGAAGUAAUGAUUGAUAGGGACAGUUGGGGCGGUCUGUAUUCCAAAGCGAGAGGUGAAAUUCUUAGACCUUCGGAAGACAAACAGCUGCGAAAGCGUUCCGCAAGGAUGUUCCCUUUGAUCAAGAACGAAAGUUGGGGGAUCGAAGACGAUCAGAUACCGUCGUAGUCUCAACUAUAAACUAUACCAGCUAGGGAUCGGUCAACGUUUAAUCAUUCGACUUGAUCGGCACCUUAUGAGAAAUCAAAGCAUCUGGGUUCCGGGGGGAGUAUGGUCGCAAGGCUGAAACUUAAAGGAAUUGACGGAAGGGCACCACCAGCCGUGGAGCCUGUGGCUUAAUUUGACUCAACACGGGAAAACUUACCAGGUCCAGACAUAGUAAGGAUUGACAGAUUGAUAGCUCCUUCUUGAUUCUGUGGGUGGUGGUGCAUGGCCGUUCUUAGUUGGUGGAGUGAUUUGUCUGGUUAAUUCCGUUAACGAACGAGACCCCAGCCUGCUAAAUAGCGCGGCUGAGCUUUGCUCGGUGCGAGCUUCUUAGAGGGACUAUGAUGCGCGAUAGCACAUGGAAGUUUGGGGCAAUACCAGGUCUGUGAUGCCCUUAGAUGUUCUGGUCCGCACACGGGCUACACUGGCGCCUGCAACGAGCAUAUCAGCUGGCCCGAGAGGGUCUUGGCUAAUCUUUUGAACCGGCGCCGUGCUUGGGAUUGACCAUUGCAAUUGUUGGUCAUGCAACGAGGAAUGCCUUGUAAACGCGAGUCAUCAGCUCGCAUUGAAUACGUCCCUGCCCUUUGUACACACCGCCCGUCGCUCCUACCGAUGAAUGUUCCGAUGAAAUUUUCGGAGAGCGCCAGAGAACGGGGCUCCGCCUUGCAGAUCUGGAGGCUCAAAGUCACUUAAAUCUGAACAUUUCGAGGAAGGAGAAGUCGUAACAAGGUAACC